rnacentral:lncRNA from 10 species
GCAGUGGCCUUGGCCCGGCAGAAGGACACAGUGAGCCGGUCUGAGGCAGCCUACGGCACCAACACUGCGCGGCAGGGCCGGGCCGCCCCCGCCUUCAAAGGUGGCGGUGGGCCCCGUUCCACACACGCGCUGGACCUGGAGGCUGAGGAGGAGAGGACGAGGCUAUGUGAUGACCGCCUGGGGCUUGCCAGCCGCGAGCUGCUGCUGCAGUGAGAGCUGGGCCUGUGGCCCUGGAGAGUGGGGCUAGGCCUGGGCUUGGGGCUCCCCACUCAGAGCCACGUGGAGAAAGAGGGGUGGUCAUGGCUGGGGCAGCAGAUUCUAUGGCCGGCCGUGGGUGGGGUUCUCCCCACCCCUAGAGCCUUUCUGGAGUCUCACCCGGGGUUGGGGGUCUCAGUUAACCCCUUGCAGCGGUCAGGUUACCCACUUUCAGGGGCCAGGAGAUGGCCCCCAGUCAGCCCUGCAGAGCACUGAGGCUGGAGCCUGGGGUUUUCCCUGAGCCUCCAGGUCCCGUUCUCCCUCCCAGGUUGAUGGCAGGGGGUGGGACAGGGAGUCAGGCAUUGGCACC